rnacentral:rRNA from 1 species
CUAAUACAUGCAGUCGAGCGGACAGAAGGGAGCUUGCUCCCGGAUGUUAGCGGCGGACGGGUGAGUAACACGUGGGUAACCUGCCUGUAAGACUGGGAUAACUCCGGGAAACCGGAGCUAAUACCGGAUAGUUCCUUGAACCGCAUGGUUCAAGGAUGAAAGACGGUUUCGGCUGUCACUUACAGAUGGACCCGCGGCGCAUUAGCUAGUUGGUGAGGUAACGGCUCACCAAGGCGACGAUGCGUAGCCGACCUGAGAGGGUGAUCGGCCACACUGGGACUGAGACACGGCCCAGACUCCUACGGGAGGCAGCAGUAGGGAAUCUUCCGCAAUGGACGAAAGUCUGACGGAGCAACGCCGCGUGAGUGAUGAAGGUUUUCGGAUCGUAAAGCUCUGUUGUUAGGGAAGAACAAGUGCAAGAGUAACUGCUUGCACCUUGACGGUACCUAACCAGAAAGCCACGGCUAACUACGUGCCAGCAGCCGCGGUAAUACGUAGGUGGCAAGCGUUGUCCGGAAUUAUUGGGCGUAAAGGGCUCGCAGGCGGUUUCUUAAGUCUGAUGUGAAAGCCCCCGGCUCAACCGGGGAGGGUCAUUGGAAACUGGGAAACUUGAGUGCAGAAGAGGAGAGUGGAAUUCCACGUGUAGCGGUGAAAUGCGUAGAGAUGUGGAGGAACACCAGUGGCGAAGGCGACUCUCUGGUCUGUAACUGACGCUGAGGAGCGAAAGCGUGGGGAGCGAACAGGAUUAGUAUCG